rnacentral:rRNA from 1 species
AAUGAACGCUGGCGGCAUGCCUAACACAUGCAAGUCGAACGAAGGCUUCGGCCUUAGUGGCGCACGGGUGCGUAACGCGUGGGAAUCUACCCUUAGGUUCGGAAUAACAGUUGGAAACGACUGCUAAUACCGGAUGAUGACGUAAGUCCAAAGAUUUAUCGCCUAGGGAUGAGCCCGCGUAGGAUUAGCUAGUUGGUGUGGUAAAGGCGCACCAAGGCGACGAUCCUUAGCUGGUCUGAGAGGAUGAUCAGCCACACUGGGACUGAGACACGGCCCAGGCUCCUACGGGAGGCAGCAGUGGGGAAUAUUGGACAAUGGGCGAAAGCCUGAUCCAGCAAUGCCGCGUGAGUGAUGAAGGCCUUAGGGUUGUAAAGCUCUUUUACCCGGGAUGAUAAUGACAGUACCGGGAGAAUAAGCUCCGGCUAACUCCGUG